GACGAGGCACUACGGUGCUGAAGUAACAAAUGCCCUGCUUCCAGGAAAAGCCUCUAAGCAUCAGGUAACAACGAAUCGUACCCCAAACCGACACAGGUGGUCAGGUAGAGAAUACCAAGGCGCUUGAGAGAACUCGGGUGAAGGAACUAGGCAAAAUGGUGCCGUAACUUCGGGAGAAGGCACGCUGAUGGUAGGUGAAG
rnacentral:rRNA from 1 species